rnacentral:rRNA from 1 species
AAUGCCGGAUGCUCCAGUUGAUCGCAUGGUCUUCUGGGAAAGCCUUUGCGGCAUGGGAUGGGGUCGCGUCCUAUCAGCUUGAUGGCGGGGUAACGGCCCACCAUGGCUUCGACGGGUAGCCGGCCUGAGAGGGCGACCGGCCACAUUGGGACUGAGAUACGGCCCAGACUCCUACGGGAGGCAGCAGUGGGGAAUAUUGCACAAUGGGCGCAAGCCUGAUGCAGCGACGCCGCGUGAGGGAUGGAGGCCUUCGGGUUGUAAACCUCUUUUGUUAGGGAGCAAGGCAUUUUGUGUUGAGUGUACCUUUCGAAUAAGCACCGGCUAACUACGUGCCAGCAGCCGCGGUAAUACGUAGGGUGCAAGCGUUAUCCGGAAUUAUUGGGCGUAAAGGGCUCGUAGGCGGUUCGUCGCGUCCGGUGUGAAAGUCCAUCGCUUAACGGUGGAUCCGCGCCGGGUACGGGCGGGCUUGAGUGCGGUAGGGGAGACUGGAAUUCCCGGUGUAACGGUGGAAUGUGUAGAUAU